rnacentral:rRNA from 1 species
UUUUUAUAAGGGAAACUACGGAAAAGCUGUAGCUAAUACUUGCUUUAAUGCGUUUGAAUCCUUUUGGAUUCCCGCGUAUGUACUUGUUAAGCCUUUAAGAAAGAAGUUUAUAACUUAAGGAAUUAUAACAAAGAAGUAACACAUAAUAAGGUUGCCUUAUUUAGUGUGUAUCAAUCGAGUUUCUGACCUAUCAGCUUUUGAUGUUAGGGUAUUGGCCUAACAUGGCUAUGACGGGUA